AUUGAACGCUGGCGGCAGGCCUAACACAUGCAAGUCGAACGAGUGGCGGACGGGUGAGUAAUGUCUGGGAAACUGCCUGAUGGAGGGGGAUAACUACUGGACACGGUAGCUAAUACCGCAUACCAUCGGAUGUGCCCAGAUGGGAUUAGCUAGUUGGUGGGGUAAAGGCUCACCUAGGCGACGCUCCCUAGCUGGUCUGAGAGGAUGACCAGCAACACUGGAACUGAGACAAGGUCCAGACGCCUACGGGAGGCAGCAGUGGGGAAUAUUGUACGAUGGGCGCAAGUCUGAUGUAGCCGAGCGGCGUGUAUGAAGAAGGCCUUCGGGUUGGAAAGUACGUUCAGCGGGGAGGCGUUACCCGGAGAAGAAGCACCGGCUAACUCCGUGCCAGCAGCCGCGGUAAUAC
rnacentral:rRNA from 1 species